rnacentral:rRNA from 1 species
AGGACGAACGCUGGCGGCGUGCUUAACACAUGCAAGUCGAGCGGAAAGGCCCUUCGGGGUACUCGAGCGGCGAACGGGUGAGUAACACGUGAGCAAUCUGCCCUUAGCUUCGGGAUAGCCCCGGGAAACCGGGAUUAAUACCGAAUACGACCUCGGCCGACAUCGGCCUUGGUGGAAAGUUUUUCGGCUAGGGAUGAACUCGCGGCCUAUCAGCUUGUUGGUGGGGUAAUAGCCUACCAAGGCGACGACGGGUAGCCGGCCUGAGAGGGCGACCGGCUACACUGGGACUGAGACACGGCCCAGACUCCUACGGGAGGCAGCAGUGGGGAAUAUUGCGCAAUGGGCGAAAGCCUGACGCAGCGACGCCGCGUGGGGGAUGAAGGCCUUCGGGUUGUAAAGCCCUGUGGGAGGGACGAAGUAAGUGGUGGCUAAUAUCCACCAUGAUGACGGUACCUCCUUAGCAAGCACCGGCUAACUCUGUGCCAGCAGCCGCGGUAA